rnacentral:misc_RNA from 1 species
GAUGAAGAACGUAGCAAAAUGCGAUAAGUAAUGUGAAUUGCAGAAUUCAGUGAAUCAUCGAAUCUUUGAACGCACAUUGCGCCCGCCAGUAUUCUGGCGGGCAUGCCUGUUCGAGCGUCAUUUCAACCAUCAAGCCCUAGGCUUGCGUUGGAGCCCUGCGGCUGCCGCAGGCCCCUAAAAGCAGUGGCGGGCUCGCUAUCACACCGAGUGCAGUAGAUUACUCUUCGCUCAGGGCGUGUGGCGGGUUCCAGCCGUGAAACCCCCUACUUCUCAAGGUUGACCUCGGAUCAGGUAGGAAUACCCGCUGAACUUAAGCAUAUCAAUAAGCGGAGGA